rnacentral:rRNA from 1 species
UACAGAGGGGGCAAGCGUUGUUCGGAAUUACUGGGCGUAAAGGGCGCGUAGGCGGCCUUCUAAGUCGAACGUGAAAUCCCCGGGCUCAACCCGGGAACUGCGUCCGAUACUGGAAGGCUUGAAUCCGGGAGAGGGAUGCGGAAUUCCAGGUGUAGCGGUGAAAUGCGUAGAUAUCUGGAGGAACACCGGUGGCGAAGGCGGCAUCCUGGACCGGCAUUGACGCUGAGGCGCGAAAGCCAGGGGAGCAAAGCAGG